CAACUACUCCCUCCGUCCCAAAAUUCUUGUCUUAGAUUUGUCUAGAUACAGUUGUAUGUAUACAAAAAUGUGACUUGAUACAUCCGUAUCUAGACAAAUCUAAGACAAGAAUUUUGGGACGGAGGGAGUUCUUU
rfam:Triticum aestivum genome assembly, contig: Triticum_aestivum_CS42_TGACv1_scaffold_222602_3B